UAUCGAUUUUCAAAUAUUGCACCUGUCAAUACAGAACGAAAUAUUCUGUAGCCUAUUUUGCCGUCAAUACUGCUGACAUUGUCUUCGCUGUAAUCAAAUCACAAUUAAUUCAUAUUUAUGU